rnacentral:ncRNA from 22 species
CUAUCCCGAGCUGUGGUUGUAAGUCGAAGCCAGUCGCAGGCAAAACGAUCCACGUAAGUUUAACCAAAAAAGCAAAUAAAACGAUCAUGGUGCGGCCUAGAUGUAAGUCCAGCCGCGCGGCUUUGCAUUCUGCGAGGCUGCGGCGAGAGAAGGGGCGUAAGAUAAUAUCAAGCUAAGCUUCCAGCUGGCGGGUGUGGGGGCAAAGACCAGGUCAGUCGGGGUGC